GAUGAAGAACGUAGCGAAAUGCGAUAAGUAGUGUGAAUUGCAGAAUUCAGUGAAUCAUCGAAUCUUUGAACGCACAUUGUGCCCUUUGGUAUUCCUUAGGGCAUGCCUGUUCGAGCGUCAUUUAAACCUUCAAGCUAAGCUUGGUGUUGGGUGACUGUCCGCUUCACGGCGGACUCGCCUCAAAAUUAUUGGCGGCCGGUACAUUGGCUUCGAGCGCAGCAGAAACGCGAACUCGGGCCCGUCGUAUUGGCUCCCAGAAGCUAUCUUCACAAUUUUGACCUCGGAUCAGGUAGGGAUACCCGCUGAACUUAAGCAUAUCAAUAAGCGGAGGA
rnacentral:misc_RNA from 1 species